GUCUAUGGUCAUAUCACCCUGAACACGCCUGAUCUCGUCUGAUCUCGGAAGCUAAGCAGGGUCAGGCCUGGUUAGUACUUGGAUGGGAGAGCAUGGGGAACCAUGGGAA
rnacentral:rRNA from 1 species